CUCAGCACCAUGGUCCAGCCCAGCCUCUGCUAUUGGAAGAGUCUGCACGCAGUCCAUCCUCGGCUUUCCCACAGCAGAACUGCACCAUGGCUGUUGGGGACUGUCCUGCUUAAGUAGGGUUGUCAAGGUAUACCUGGCUGGGAAGGUGACACUUCAGGAAAUUCUCAAGAGAGAUUCCGGGGACUGAACUCAGGUCAGCAGACUUGGGAGGCAAGCACCCUUACCCGCUGAGCCAGCUCACUGGCCUCUGAAUUACAUUUUAACUAGAUCACUCUGUCUUCAGGGCCCAGCAUCGUCUGAAAGGGACAGGGACAGGAAGACUAACGGCAGAGGUGGGCUCUGUUUGCAAGAUUACAGAAGGAACCACAACAGCUUAGACCAGAGUCAGAUGAGGUUAGAGAAUUUCAGAUGGACAUUUUCUGAUGAAGAAGACUCUCCACUCUAGCACGAUCCACUAAUGAAGAAAGACAGAGAACCAGCAUUCACCCUAGAGACGGCAAGAAAUCGUGUCCGUGAAGGCAGUUGUUGGAUGCUGGCUGCAAGUCAAGAUCACCAGGGAUACUGCUAGUGUCCUGAUGCCCAAUGCCACCUCAGAGAUUCUAGUUCCUCUACUGCCAGGCUGUUAUUAGUGACUUUAGACCCCUCCCAUCAAUGCUUCUAAUAUUUAACCAGAAUUAAUAAUUAAUUGUCUAAUUACAACCCUUAACAUAGUUUGCCUGUUAAGCCUCCCAAACUCAGUGGUUUUACGUUGAGGUUUGAAGCAAAGGAAUCACAUGAAUUGGUCAGUGGAAAAGUUAGGUGGAAACAUCCCAAGCAAGGGCAAUAGCGGCUUGAAAGAGAUGUUAAUAUGAGAAGUUCUGGCAUUAGAAAACCAACAGCAGCCCCAGUAGCCACUUACAACUUGUGGAUGGGGGUAGGGAUGAUGCCAAAGAGUUAUAUACCAUGCUAAUUAAUAAUGCACCCCCAAAUUAUUGAAAUCCCGACAUGUAACAUGAGGGCCAGCUUGUUGGGGUUUCUAUCCUGCCUGGUACCCCACAGCCGGCAAGU